GAUGAACGCUGGCGGCGUGCCUAAUACAUGCAAGUCGAGCGAACGGACGAGUAGCUUGCUUCUCUGAUGUUUGCGGCGGACGUGUGUGUAACACGUGGAUAACCUCCCUAUAAGACUGUGAUCACUUCGGGACACCGUUGCUAAUACCGGCUAAUAUUUUGUACCGCAUGGUUCCCUUGUGACCUACGGUCUUGCUGUCACUUAUUGAUUGAUCCGCGCUGCAUUAGCUAGUUGGUAUGGUAACGGCUUACCAAGGCAACGAUGCAUAGCCGACCUGAGAGGGGGAACGGCCACACGGGAACUGAGACACGGACCAGACGCCUACGGGAGGCAGCAGUAGGGAAUGUUGGGCAAUGGGCGAAAGCAUGACGGAGCAACGCCGCGUGAGUGAAGAAGGUCUUCGGAUCGUAAAACACUGUUAUGAGGGAAGAAAAUAUGGGUAAGAAAAUGGGCAGAGGAUGACGGUACCGAAAGAGAAAGCAACGGCUAACUACGUG
rnacentral:rRNA from 1 species